GAGAAGACAUAGAGAAGGGAGUCGCGUCCAUGGACAAUGAAGGCCGCGACGGGGAGGAGGAGAGGGGGAAGUCUGCCGAGUCCUCACAGCCUCCGAUAUAAGACGCAUAAGAAGUUCGAUAAUUUGCUUAUUGUGAAAUUGGGCAGGAUCACCAUGGUUAUUGUGCUUAGCAUAUUGUAUACUCUGUUGACCUUCGGAGGCUACACUUACAACAGAUGAAAUGUUUCUGCUUUCCAUCUGUAUUUCUAUUUGUUGUAUUGAACUUCUCUCUUGGGACAGUUUGUGGAGGUUCUUUGCAGGAGCUCAGGUAAGGUUAGGAGGUUCGCAGCUGGAACCACUGCUGGAUAUGCAUUGUAUGUGAUCAAUUGUAAACUGGAUAUCGGGGUUGCCCCAGGCUUGCAUAUUGAGGCUGUAAAGGAAGGGGAGGAACCUGUGGUCUUUGGUCCUAAUUCUAUUCUUGUUAACUACGGGAAAGGUUGGAAUUUGCAGACUGUUACUGAUGAAGGGCAUGACGAAUCAAUAGGAAUGCUGCAGAAUUCAAAGAUAUCACCCAACUUCCAAUCCUUCAAGAAGCCGAUGACUAUGAAUCAGCCAAAUUCAACUAUCAGUUUUCAGUAUAUUGGGAAGAUACUACUAGCCUUUGCCUUCAUGUUCCUGCUUGGAGGAAUAUUCACCUUCUUCUUGCAAAACCUCCCAGCUAUGAACCUCUCAGCUGUAUCAAGUCUAUAACUUGAUCAACUGUGUUGUUCUCUAGCAUUCAGUUUGUGAAUUAUUCGAUGUCCAAGCCAGCUCUCUGUGGAGCGUCAUAAAAUCAUUCCUAACAUCACCAUAUAUUGGAUUGUUUGUAUUUCUUAUCUUUAGUUUUUGCAAGGAUGAACAUGUGGAAGUCUUCCCUCAUAAUUAGCCUUAGAAAACAUCUUGUUUUACUUGUCUUUUGGACAUUUUUAUAUGCAUAUUCACAAGGAAAAUGUUGGUCUGAAUUAAAGUUUUAUUUUUGAAGUUUGUAUUGAUGAUUCUCUUGUACCAAAAAACACUUCUACAUAGCCUGAAAACUGUGUUAGAGGUGGUUAACUGCAGGGUAUGUUUUGGACUUAUA